CCCUCUAAAAAUGAUAAAAAUUUAAUUUAAUCUUUUAAAAUUUAUAAAAAUAUAAACUAUUAAAAUAAUAAAAUUACAUAUUUACUAUCAUAAAAACAUAUAAUUUAAUUUCCUUCCUAACAUAAUUUUCUGACUUCUGUCUUGCUCUGCUUCUAUCGGUGGAGUUGCAAAUCUGUCCCACCAUCAUUUAGUUAUUUGCAAUAGGGAAUAUAUAGUCUAAAAACCUAGCAAAGAACCAGCAGCAGACGCUAGCGACGAAGUCGGGGCUGGGACAGUCGGUCUAGGUAAAUAGCUGAUGAAGGGUUGGGGCAGACGAGAGGCUGAGACGGUAGCACACGAAUCAACCGAAGCGCGCAGUGGUGAUAUAGGAACAGGGCAGCGACCAAAUCAGGGAAAAGAAAGAUGGAAAUAGAGAAAAGGGAAAAUUAUGGGUGAAGGACCUUCUAUUUUUAGUAGGAUUUUUUGUGUUUUCCUUUUUCAUGCAAAUUAGUUCCCUAUUUAUAAUGAAAAACACUUAAGGAAAUAAAAAUUGAAAAAUUAAUCUAACUUAAUGAUUUAACCAAUCUACAAAAUAAAAAUUGAAAACUAAAUAAAAACCUAUUUAUCUAAAAUUAAUCUAAAUUAUCGUAAGAAAAUAAUAUAUAUGUAUAUAAAAAAAUACUAAUUCAUCUAACUCCUAGUUAUUAAU
rnacentral:lncRNA from 1 species